AUACAGAGGGUGCAAGCGUUAAUCGGAUUUACUGGGCGUAAAGCGUGCGUAGGUGGUCUUUUAAGUCGGAUGUGAAAUCCCUGAGCUUAACUUAGGAAUUGCAUUCGAUACUGGGAGACUAGAGUAUGGGAGAGGAUGGUAGAAUUCCAGGUGUAGCGGUGAAAUGCGUAGAGACCUGGAGGAAUACCGAUGGCGAAGGCAGCCAUCUGGCCUAAUACUGACACUGAGGUAACGAAAGCAUGGGGAGC
rnacentral:rRNA from 1 species